UACGGAGGAUCCAAGCGUUAUCCGGAUUCAUUGGGUUUAAAGGGUGCGUAGGCGGACUGAUAAGUCAGUGGUGAAAUCCCUUCGCUUAACGAAGGAACUGCCAUUGAUACUGUCAAUCUUGAGUACAUUUGAUGUGGGCGGAAUGUGUCAUGUAGCGGUGAAAUGCUUAGAUAUGACACAGAACACCGAUUGCGAAGGCAGCUCACAAAACUGUAACUGACGCUGAGGCACGAAAGCGUGGGUAUCAAACAGG
rnacentral:rRNA from 1 species